UAGGGAAUCUUCCACAAUGGACGCAAGUCUGACGGAGCAACGCCGCGUGAGUGAAGAAGGAUUUCGGUUCGUAAAACUCUGUUGUUAGAGAAGAACAGCGCAUAGAGUAACUGUUAUGCGUGUGACGGUAUCUAACCAGAAAGCCACGGCUAACUACGUGCCAGCAGCCGCGGUAAUACGUAGGUGGCAAGCGUUGUCCGGAUUUAUUGGGCGUAAAGCGAGCGCAGGCGGUCAAUUAAGUCUGAUGUGAAAGCCCCCGGCUCAACCGGGGAGUGUCAUUGGAAACUGGUUGACUUGAGUGCAGAAGAGGAGAGUGGAAUUCCAUGUGUAGCGGUGAAAUGCGUAGAUAUAUGGAGGAACACCAGUGGCGAAGGCGGCUCUCUGGUCUGUAACUGACGCUGAGGCUCGAAAGCGUGGGUAGCAAACAGG
rnacentral:rRNA from 1 species